rnacentral:tRNA from 1 species
GCGAGGGUGGCGAAACUGGCAGACGCGCAAGACUUAGGAUCUUGUGGGUAACCCCCGUGCGGGUUCAAGUCCCGCUCCUCGCA